rnacentral:lncRNA from 1 species
AUGCCCAAAGGAAGAACCUGGCAGGGAACUUCAGAGCGAAUAUUUUCAUGAAGGGAGAAAUUCUUUGGUAACUUGAACAAUUGCUGCCUUGGUAUUUGGAGGCAAAUAAAUCAACCUUUAGGGGAAAGAGUUCUUGCCCCAAUUUAGGGGCUUUUAUAAACUGAGACGACAGCUCAAUCUCAGGGGCUGUAACUAGAAUCACAGGCUCCCCCAGUCUGCUACUUAAGAAGCUGUUAAUGGCCAGCUUAUUAGCCCAUUAGCAACUGCUUUAGCCCAUUAGGAGACGUUUAAGUGGUGCAAACCGCUGGCAGUUCCAGCAGGGUGAGGCUUGGUUGACUUCGCCGUGGUGAUUCCUUGCUUUGGCAAAUUAUCUGAGUGGGUCAGGGCAGCUUUCCUCGUGUGACGUUUACUUGUAAUGAGGCACGCCUGUACUCCGUGUCCCAUCUGGGGUGGAAUUCUUAGGGCGAUCAUUUGGAAAGGGGUAGUUUUGUUCUUGUAAACUAUAGACUCUCAGCUGCUGAUGACCCGACCACUAGCCACCUACCUCUAAUUGCCACCCCUCUCCCCUGCGGCUGCUCCCAACCACAGAGGAAUUAGUUAAAAACUCUGGUGAUUAGAGGAGAUGUUGCCAAACCUGGAGGGGUGGCCUGUGUGUGGACUGCAAGAAGUUAGCCUGGCUUGAUUCUUGAUCUGUUUUAUGCCUAUAGUAGGGAGACUAGUGGCCCCUGCUAAAGCUGGACCCUGCCUGAAUCCCUGCAACCCAUGAAUAUGUUACCUUACAUGACAAAAGGGAAUUUGUGGAUGUGAUUAAAGACCUUGAGAUGGGGAGAGUAACCUGCAUUAUCCAGGUGGACCAAUGUGCUCACAAGAGUCCUUAAAUGUGGAAGAAGGAGGGAAAAGAGGAGGUUAGAGUGAUGCAAUGUAAGAAGACUUCCCUGUUGUUGCUUGAAGAUGGAGGAGGGAAGGGAGCAGAGGCAUGCGGCAGCCUCCAGAAGCGGGAAAGGGCAAGGACGUGAAUUCUCCACGUAGAAUUCUUCCGCAGAGUCUCUGGAAGGGAACACAACCCUGCUGACAUCUUGAUCUUUGUCCAGUGAGCAACAUUUCAGCUUCUGACCUCAGACUGUAAGACUCUGUGGCACGCACAGCAUUUUAACAGAGGAGCAUAAACACAUCUACACCUGGCAUAACUUGAAACAUGAAGCCACUUGGUCAAAAGCAACCAUCGCAAGAACGGAAGAAUAUUGCACAGAGUGGGUGGUGAAGUGGCUGGAUGACACAAAGUAAUGCAGGGGACUUCUAAAGGGCUAAUGGAUAAUCGGUACCCAAAGUCUUUUCCUUCAUUGCUUCCGUGGACCAGAGCCACUGAGGUCUGUUGUUCAUGCUUCUCAGUCGUGAGGCUCUUGAGAGGACCCAGGUCAGAAGCACACCUGACCUGCAGGAGCAGACACAGAUGAACCAGAGAGUCAGGGCUGGAGGGGUCUGGGAUGUCAGAAGCCAGCCUCCUCAUGCUACAAAUGAGGCUAAUGAAGCAUGGGAAGAAGAAAAGGCCACAGUGAGUGGUGGAAGCAGAAUGAAGACCCAAGUUUCUAAAUUUGGGGCCAAUGCUCUUUCUAUUCUUUUCCCCAGAUGUCAAGAGCACAUGAAAAGGGUCUCAGGAUAGGCCAUGAUUUGCAGAGUGGGAAUGUUCUGAGAAUCGUGCUCAGCUUCUAUGGAGCGCUCUCCACCUUCUCCAACAGAGUGCGCUUCCUUAGUACCGUGCCACCUACUCUUUAAGUCGAUGAUACCUACCCACUGGUAGUGUGCCUGAAAACUGGGCUCUAGUCCCAUGUGGCCACAAGUCCCAUGAGGCAGUGGAAAGACAGUUGGUCUGGAAAGAAGGCUCUGUCACUUACUGGCUCUGGGUCCCUGGACAAGUCUUAGUCUCCCUGUUCUGUGAAGCAGGAUGAGCAUCUCCACUCCACGCACUUGCAGGUGAUUGCAAAGAACAAGCAAGACCACGAUUUAAAGUGACUUAUAAGCUGUGAAACACUGCAGCUUGGGAGGUGUCAGCGGGAGAGUGUCUGACCCGUCUACUGAGAAUUUCUCUCUUUUGCGUUGUGCAGUGGUCAUCACCAGGCAAAGCAAAUUGGAGAGAGAGUUCCAGACCUCUAGGAGCUUCACAAAUGCAGACUUUCAAAUUAUUCACUAGAUUUUGAGCUUCUCACAUUUUGAGCCCAAGUCUUAGUCACCUUUACAGCAUCCCCCACCUUCACCCAAUGGCUUGCCUAAGGCAUCUCUUUUUGGUGAAUGGAGUAAAGUAGUGAAAGGGUGUCAAUUAAACACCCGAUGAGUUAGCUAGGGACCAGAAAACCUCAGGGUGUCAUUCACUUGUGGAAGGACUGCUAGUCUAAAAUAAAGAAACAUUUUUAAUUCUAGAGUACUGUUUUAAAGAAAUGCAAUUUUGACUUUCAAGAACAAAGAGUAACUCAAAUUGGACUAACAAAGUAUUUACAAGUAGCGUUUUGGCUUAUAAAUGAUGCCUUGCUUCAAUUUCAUAAAUUACUUUCACAUCUGUAAUUUCAUUUUCAUAAAUGUCCUGUGAGGUGGGCUAUGAUCCCCAUUUUAUAGGUGAGAAAUGGAGGCUCAGGGAGCAGAGGCAACUUGGGUUCAUCCACUUUGUGUUCUAUUUGGGAUUUUGGACUGCGAUGUCAGGACUAUUUGCAAGCUUUCAUUCUUUCUAAUAGAUUUCGUUCUUUGAGCAUACAUGUCCUCAUCUUCUUCAACUCCAUCUCCCUCCAUCAUGCUUGCUUGGCAAAAUCCCAGCCCUAGUUAAUUCAACCCUCCUCUCCUCCUGUGCUCCACCUAGACACCUGAGCCUAGCUGGAGAGAAACAUGGACCAUAAUAACCGCCUUACUUUAGGUUCCUGACUGGCCAAGCUCAAGUGGGCCCUCAAUGCUCCCCAGCAAUCUACAACACUACGCUUCCCUCAUCCAUCACCUUCCCUGUCUCCUAGUUGACAAUAUCACACGUGCUCUUAUCUUUCCACCUUCCAACAUCCUCACUGGCCUCUCUGGUGAUGAGCUUGCUUCACAUUUCACCUAGGAAACAAUGCAAACAGAAGAGAAGAGAAUAAACACUUGGGCUAGCACACCUUUCAAUCCACCUGCCUUUGUCCUGGGUAAUCUGCACCCUUCUCCCUUGGUUGUUCUAGGCCAUCACUCCUAGAGACAUCCUUUCUUUCUCCUGCAAUUUUCCCUCUCUUCUGGACUGCUUUUGCCAGUGAUCAAACAUGCCGUAAUAUCUCCCAUUAAAAAGGAAAAAAAAAACCCAAUUUGUGACAACAUGGAUGGACCUUGAGGGUAUUCUAAGUGAAAUAAGUCAGUCAGAGAAAGACAAAUAUUGUGUGGUUUUACUCAUGUGGAAUCUGGGAAAAACAAGACAAAAACAAACUCAUAGAUACAGAGAACAGAUUGGUGGUUACCAGAGGGGAAGGGGUUUGG